UUCCCUUCGGGGCUUUCUGCAAGGUGCUGCAUGGUUGUCGUCAGCUCGUGCCGUGAGGUGUCGGUUAAGUCCAUAACGAGCGCAACCCUUAUCGUUAGUUGCCAUCUGGUAAUGCAGGGGACUCUAGCGAACUGCCACGUAAGGUGAGAGGAAGUGGGAUGACGUCAAAUCAGCACGGCCCUUAUGUCCAGGGCUACACACGUGUUACAAUGGUCGGUACAGAGGGCAGCUACCUGGUGACAGGAUGCUAAUCUCGAAAACCGGUCUCAGUUCGGAUCGAAGUCUGCAACUCGACUUCGUGAAGCUGGAUUCGCUAGUAAUCGCGCAUCAGCUAUGGCGCGGUGAAUACGUUCCCGGGCCCUU
rnacentral:rRNA from 1 species